GUAAAGCACUUUCAGUAGGGAGGAAGGUAGUGUAGUUAACACCUGCAUUAUUUGACGUUACCUACAGAAGAAGCACCGGCUAACUCCGUGCCAGCAGCCGCGGUAAUACGGAGGGUGCGAGCGUUAAUCGGAAUUACUGGGCGUAAAGCGCAUGCAGGCGGCCUGUUAAGUCAGAUGUGAAAGCCCGGGGCUUAACCUCGGAAAUUGCAUUUGAAACUGGCAGGCUAGAGUCUUGUAGAGGGGGGUAGGAAUUUCAGGUGUAGCGGUGAAAUGCGUAGAGAUCUGAAGGAAUACCAGUGGCGAAGGCGGCCCCCUCGGACAAAGACUGACGCUCAGAUGCGAAAGCGUGGGGAGCAAACAGGAUUAGAUACCCUGGUAG
rnacentral:rRNA from 1 species